UACGUAGGGCGCAAGCGUUGUCCGGAAUUAUUGGGCGUAAAGCGCGCGCAGGCGGUCCUUUAAGUCUGAUGUGAAAGCCCACGGCUCAACCGUGGAGGGUCAUUGGAAACUGGGGGACUUGAGUACAGAAGAGAAGAGUGGAAUUCCACGUGUAGCGGUGAAAUGCGUAGAGAUGUGGAGGAACACCAGUGGCGAAGGCGACUCUUUGGUCUGUAACUGACGCUGAGGCGCGAAAGCGUGGGGAGCAAACAGG
rnacentral:rRNA from 1 species